UACAGAGGGUGCGAGCGUUAAUCGGAAUUACUGGGCGUAAAGCGCGCGUAGGCGGCUUUGCAAGUCGAGUGUGAAAUCCCCAGGCUUAACCUGGGGAACUGCAUUCGAGACUGCAUAGCUAGAGUAUGGGAGAGGGAAGUGGAAUUUCAGGUGUAGCGGUGAAAUGCGUAGAUAUCUGAAGGAACAUCAGUGGCGAAAGCGACUUCCUGGACCAAUACUGACGCUCAUGUGCGAAAGCGUGGGGAGCAAACAGG
rnacentral:rRNA from 1 species